CCUACGGGUGGCAGCAGUGAGGAAUAUUGGUCAAUGGACGAGAGUCUGAACCAGCCAAGUAGCGUGAAGGAUGACUGCCCUAUGGGUUGUAAACUUCUUUUAUAUGGGAAUAAAACGUUCCACGUGUGGGAUUUUGUAUGUACCAUAUGAAUAAGGAUCGGCUAACUCCGUGCCAGCAGCCGCGGUAAUACGGAGGGUCCGAGCGUUAUCCGGAUUUAUUGGGUUUAAAGGGAGCGUAGGUGGAUUGUUAAGUCAGUUGUGAAAGUUUGCGGCUCAACCGUAAAAUUGCAGUUGAAACUGGCAGUCUUGAGUACAGUAGAGGUGAGCGGAAUUCGUGGUGUAGCGGUGAAAUGCUUAGAUAUCACGAAGAACUCCGAUUGCGAAGGCAGUUCACUGGACUGCAACUGACACUGAGGCUCGAAAGUGUGGGUAUCAAACAGGAUUAGAUACCCCAGUAGUC
rnacentral:rRNA from 1 species